rnacentral:tRNA from 2 species
GCACCUGUAUCUCAACUGGAUAGAGUACUUCCCUCCGAAGGAAGCUGUUGUGAGUUCGAAUCUCACCAGGUGCA